rnacentral:rRNA from 1 species
CAGCCGCCGCGGGAAAACGAAGGGGGCUAGCGUUGCUCGGAAUGACUGGGCGUAAAGGGCGCGUAGGCGGCGAUCAAAGUCAGGCGUGAAAUUCCUGGGCUCAACCUGGGGGCUGCGUUUGAUACUUGGUUGCUAGAGUGAGGAAGAGGGUCGUGGAAUUCCCAGUGUAGAGGUGAAAUUCGUAGAUAUUGGGAAGAACACCGGUGGCGAAGGCGGCGACCUGGUCCUUGACUGACGCUGAGGCGCGAAAGCGUGGGGAGCAAACAGGAUUAGAUACCCCCGUAGUCCCUGUCUCUUAUAC